rnacentral:rRNA from 1 species
CUGUCACACUGCCAAGAAAAGCUUCUAGUGAGAAAGUAACUGCCCGUACCGCAAACCGACACAGGUAGUUGAGGAGAGAAUCCUAAGGUGUGCGAGAGAACUCUCGUUAAGGAACUCGGCAAAAUGACCCCGUAACUUCGGGAGAAGGGAUGCUGACCGCAAGGUCAGCCGCAGUGAAUAGGCCCAAGCGACUGUUUAUCAAAAACACAGGUCUCUGCAAAAUCGAAAGAUGACGUAUAGGGGCUGACGCCUGCCCGGUGCUGGAAGGUUAAGAGGAGAGGUUAGCGCAAGCGAAGCUUUGAAUUGUAGCCCCAGUAAACGGCGGCCGUAACUAUAACGGUCCUAAGGUAGCGAAAUUCCUUGUCGGGUAAGUUCCGACCCGCACGAAAGGCGUAACGAUUUGGGCACUGUCUCAACGAGAGACUCGGUGAAAUUAUAGUACCAGUGAAGAUGCUGGUUACCCGCGACAGGACGGAAAGACCCCAUGGAGCUUUACUGCAGUUUGAUAUUGCGUGUUUGUAUCACAUGUACAGGAUAGGUAGGAGCCGAAGAUACCGGGACGCCAGUCUCGGAGGAGGCAACGGUGGGAUACUACCCUUGUGAUAUGACCACUCUGACCCGCUGCUCUUAGCGGGCAGGGAGACAGUGUCAGACGGGCAGUUUGACUGGGGCGGUCGCCUCCAAAAAUGUAACGGAGGCGCCCAAAGGUUCCAUCAGAAUGGUUGGAAAUCAUUCGUAGAGUGUAAAGGCAGAAGGGAGCUUGACUGCGAGACCUACAAGUCGAGCAGGGACGAAAGUCGGGCUUAGUGAUCCGGUGGUUCCGCAUGGAAGGGCCAUCGCUCAACGGAUAAAAGCUACCCUGGGGAUAACAGGCUUAUCUCCCCCAAGAGUUCACAUCGACGGGGAGGUUUGGCACCUCGAUGUCGGCUCAUCGCAUCCUGGGGCUGUAGUCGGUCCCAAGGGUUGGGCUGUUCGCCCAUUAAAGCGGUACGCGAGCUGGGUUCAGAACGUCGUGAGACAGUUCGGUCCCUAUCCGUCGCGGGCGUUGGAAAUUUGAGAGGAGCUGUCCUUAGUACGAGAGGACCGGGAUGGACACACCGCUGGUGUACCAGUUGUUCUGCCAAGAGCAUCGCUGGGUAGCUAUGUGUGGACGGGAUAAACGCUGAAAGCAUCUAAGCGUGAAGCCCCCCUCAAGAUGAGAUUUCCCAUCACUUUAAGUGAGUAAGACCCCUGAGAGAUGAUCAGGUAGAUAGGUUGGGAGUGGAAGUACAGCGAUGUAUGGAGCGGACCAAUACUAAUCGGUCGAGGACUCAACC